rnacentral:rRNA from 1 species
UACGGAGGAUGCGAGCGUUAUCCGGAUUUAUUGGGUUUAAAGGGUGCGCAGGCGGAUUUUUAAGUCAGCGGUCAAAUCGUGGGGCUCAACCCCAUCCAGCCGUUGAAACUGGGGAUCUAGAGUGUGCGAGAGGUAUGCGGAAUGCGUGGUGUAGCGGUGAAAUGCAUAGAUAUCACGCAGAACCCCGAUUGCGAAGGCAGCAUACCGGUGCACAACUGACGCUCAGGCACGAAAAGCGUGGGUAUCGAACAGG